rnacentral:rRNA from 1 species
AGGACGAACGCUGGCGGCGUGCUUAACACAUGCAAGUCGAGCGGAAAGGCCCUUCGGGGUACUCGAGCGGCGAACGGGUGAGUAACACGUGAGCAACCUGCCCUUAGCUCUGGGAUAGCUCCGGGAAACCGGAAUUAAUACCGGAUACGACCUAGGCCGACAUCGGCCAUGGUGGAAAGUUUUUCGGCUAGGGAUGGACUCGCGGCCUAUCAGCUAGUUGGUGGGGUAAAGGCCUACCAAGGCGACGACGGGUAGCCGGCCUGAGAGGGCGACCGGCCACACUGGGACUGAGACACGGCCCAGACUCCUACGGGAGGCAGCAGUGGGGAAUCUUGCGCAAUGGGCGAAAGCCUGACGCAGCGACGCCGCGUGGGGGAUGAAGGCCUUCGGGUUGUAACCCCUUUCAGCAGGACGAAGCGAAAGUGACGGUACCUGCAGAAGAAGCGCCGGCUAACUACGUGCCAGCAGCCGC